AAAACGCUUACGCUUAAUCCUGGCAACAGGAGCGGGGGAACCAAGAUUUUGGGGUGAACCGUAUGGAGGGCUAUUUCCAGGUCCUAACCCGUCAGCUAACCUCGUCAGCGUAUGGAAAGGAGUA
rnacentral:sRNA from 1 species